rnacentral:rRNA from 1 species
AUUGAACGCUGGCGGCAGGCCUAACACAUGCAAGUCGAGCGGCAGCGGAAAGUAGCUUGCUACUUUGCCGGCGAGCGGCGGACGGGUGAGUAAUGUCUGGGAAACUGCCUGAUGGAGGGGGAUAACUACUGGAAACGGUAGCUAAUACCGCAUGACCUCGAAAGAGCAAAGUGGGGGAUCUUCGGACCUCACGCCAUCGGAUGUGCCCAGAUGGGAUUAGCUAGUAGGUGAGGUAAUGGCUCACCUAGGCGACGAUCCCUAGCUGGUCUGAGAGGAUGACCAGCCACACUGGAACUGAGACACGGUCCAGACUCCUACGGGAGGCAGCAGUGGGGAAUAUUGCACAAUGGGCGCAAGCCUGAUGCAGCCAUGCCGCGUGUGUGAAGAAGGCCUUAGGGUUGUAAAGCACUUUCAGCGAGGAGGAAGGCACCAUACUUAAUACGUGUGGUGAUUGACGUUACUCGCAGAAGAAGCACCGGCUAACUCCGUGCCAGCAGCCGCGGUAAUACGGAGGGUGCAAGCGUUAAUCGGAAUUACUGGGCGUAAAGCGCACGCAGGCGGUUUGUUAAGUCAGAUGUGAAAUCCCCGCGCUUAACGUGGGAACUGCAUUUGAAACUGGCAAGCUAGAGUCUUGUAGAGGGGGGUAGAAUUCCAGGUGUAGCGGUGAAAUGCGUAGAGAUCUGGAGGAAUACCGGUGGCGAAGGCGGCCCCCUGGACAAAGACUGACGCUCACGUGCGAAAGCGUGGGGAGCAAACAGG